AACCCAAUAAAUUAAUAAUCGGCCUAAAAGGAGUUAAGAGCUAUAAUUUUUUUUUUUAAGAAAACCACGCUUUAGUUCAAUCUAACAGCCUCACUCUCUUUUCUCUUUCUCUCUCUGUAACUCGCUUCUCCUUUCUACUUCUACCUUUCCCCAUUUCCCUCGUGACUCCACUACUUCCACCGCCAUUACUUCCACCACUACGCACCCCUUUCCACCGCCACCACACUUUAUCCUCAUUCUUCAUGGCAUCAAGGCGAUGGUGACGGUGGUCGCGAUUGGUUGUUAGAUUUUUAGAGUUUCAGGUGGCGCAUCUCUUUUCUCUCUUCUUCUUCACGGCGUCCCGCCUCCUCCUCCUUUGUUGUCUUGAGACAACCCAAAGUUUUUGUUCUUACCCCAUUAUUAUACUCACCUUAGAGGUUAAGGUUAUCUUAUGAUGUUGAAUAAUUUUAUAAUUUGGUUGAGUUUUUGUUAUUUCAGUUUUGAAAUUAGGGCUUUGGUUGAUUAUGGUUUUUUAUUUCGAUGCAUUUGUUACGGGUAUCCGAUUUUUAGUUGUUUUUAGAUGGAUUUUUGGUUGUUUUUAGAUGGAUAUUUGGUUGUUUUUAGAUGGAUUUGUUGUGGGUAUGCAAUUCCUUGGUAUUUUUGUUGUGGUUUUGAAUAAUCGAUUUGAAGUAGCAUUUUGAUCAAGUUCAUUUUUCUGCUUCGAAUAAUUUUGUAUAUUUGGUCUUGAUUUCAAUUUUUAAUAAUUUAUGUUAUUUAAGUUGUAGCAUAGAUUUGGUUGAUUAGUAGUUUACCAUGGUUAAAAAAUUAUUGGGUUCCACUAUUUACCAUGUCUGAUAUAAGUAUUUUCAAGUCUUUGCUUUCGCUACCAAUUGCUUAUUCCAAGGAUGGUCAUGGACAUGAUUUCUAGUGAGACAAAAUUAUCAAGGUGUAAGCUCUCCAUGUAGAUUUCUCUGGCUUAAUUUGAGGGACAAAACCGUUAAACAAGUUCGAGAUCUAAUGCCUUGGGAUGUCAUUUUUUGUGCCGGAAGCCUUAUUCGUGUUCCAAAUGGAGUGCCUGAUAACUCAUAGUGAUUAUGUCUUGGACGAGGUAAUUCAGAUUUUUUGAGCAAAAGCUCGUAUGAUGGUGUAGCCGCGUAGCCUGGGGCAUGAUACCCCUGCUGUCCUGCUGAUCUCUUAUGUAGUUAUAAGAGCUUUCCAUAUUUUGUAUGUCAGACAAUUUAGUUACCUUAAAAAGUCUACUGCUAAUCACUUCUGUUGUCUUAAGAACUAUCCAUGUUUUGUAUGGUGACUAUCUUGUUUUUACUAUGAGAGUCUUUGCUAAUUGCUUAUGUUGUCUUAAGAACUUGUCAUAUUUUAUAUGCUGAUAUGUUGCUAUUACCUUAUUAGUUAUGACUCUAUUGGGAUUAUUUAUCUUGUUCACAUCACUAUUAUCUAUUAUCUUUUGUUGUGAUGGAAAAUUUACAUAUGAGACUAGCAUUUGUAACGGUGUAGUGUAUUUUCAGAGAAGCAUCAAAGAUAUAAAUCGAAUAACUCGUUUUGUAUACACACCGGAACAUGGGAUUUGGUUCAAUUUGCAUUUAUUUUCAGAUUCAACACCCUUAAGCUUAUGUUUCUUGUUGCAAAGGCUUAAGUUUUAGCAUUUAUUUGAACUUCAUGCACUCAAAGAAAGCAACCGAUAUCUCAAGUAUGGUUUGAUGUUUCUUUUGCUGAUCUAUUCUCUAUAAUGUCCUAUGAUCAUCAGUUGAGGCUAUUUUCAAUAUGAUGCUUAUUUUACAAAAUCUAACCUAUUUAUAUUAUUUCAGUUUGCUGAUCAUGCCUUUUAAUUUUUGCAGCAUGAUAAAUCAUACACGCAGCACCUUUGAAGAUAUAGUGGAUGCAUAUUUGGCAUAUCUAAAUGUAGGCUUUGUUAGUUUGUUAAGGAUUCACUUAUCAUCCUCUACUUGGAAGUUUACACAAGUUUUAUGCAAGUGUGACUGGUAGCUUUAGAUUGGGGGAGAGAUCUGAUGUGUGCAUGGCCUAGCUUAAUGUAGCUGAAGGUUGUGUUGGAAUUAUUAUUUGCAUUGAUCGUUUGCCCUUGAUUUCAUUUGACAUAAUGUAUAGAACUUGACACCAGAUUUAUUGACAGAGCUUCCUGAUGACUAUACAUUUGAGACCACCUUAGCAGACUUGAUAGAUGAUUCACUGCAAGCAGUGUGGUCAAAUGGUGAAGGUGAAAGGAAGCUUAUUAGGUAAAUAUGAUAUAAAACGCAGAAAAGGAGACACUCAUUGAGGAGAAAUCUGCUGCCAUUAACAAAUUGGUGGCAGGGAAUGAACUAGGGAUUGAAGCUUAUCUAAAAGUUUGUUUAGGUGGGAUGAAGGUCAAGACUGACGAAGAUGAAUCAUCUCCUUAUGCUAAUUGCUGCUAUGCCCCUGUUGCAUGCUGCUAUUUUGCUCUACGCUACUGCUGUUCUACUGCUAAUCUGCUAUACUUGUUUUUUUUUUAAUUAAAA